rnacentral:rRNA from 1 species
UAGGGAAUAUUAGAAAUGGACGAAAGUCUGAUCUAGCAACACCGCGUGUGCGAAGAAGGCCUUCGGGCUGUAAAGCACUUUUUGGAAGGAUUAGGAAGGAAUGUACUUCCAGAAUAAGUCUCGGCUAACUACGUGCCAGCAGCCGCGGUAACACGUAGGAGGCAAACGUUAUCCGGAUUUACUGGGCGUAAAGCGCGUGUAGGUGGUUCUGUAAGUAGGGCGUGAAAGCUCCUGGCUCAACUGGGAGAGGCCGUUCUAAACUACAGAACUAGAGGAUGGUAGAGGGAGGUGGAAUUCCAGGUGUAGCGGUGAAAUGCGCAGAUAUCCGGAGGAACACCAGUGGCGAAAGCGGCCUCCUGGACCAUUCCUGACACUCAGACGCGAAAGCUAGGGUAGCAAACG